rnacentral:rRNA from 1 species
UUGGUGGGGUAAUGGCCUACCAAGGCGGCGACGGGUAGCCGGCCUGAGAGGGUGUACGGCCACAUUGGGACUGAGAUACGGCCCAGACUCCUACGGGAGGCAGCAGUGGGGAAUAUUGCACAAUGGGCGCAAGCCUGAUGCAGCGACGCCGCGUGGGGGAUGAAGGCCUUCGGGUUGUAAACUCCUUUCGCUAGGGACGAAGCUUUUUGUGACGGUACCUAGAUAAGAAGCACCGGCUAACUACGUGCCAGCAGCCGCGGUAAUACGUAGGGUGCGAGCGUUGUCCGGAAUUACUGGGCGUAAAGGGCUCGUAGGUGGUUUGUCGCGUCGUCUGUGAAAUUCUGGGGCUUAACUCCGGGCGUGCAGGCGAUACGGGCAUAACUUGAGUGCUGUAGGGGUAACUGGAAUUCCUGGUGUAGCGGUGAAAUGCGCAGAUAUCAGGAGGAACACCGAUGGCGAAGGCAGGUUACUGGGCAGUUACUGACGCUGAGGAGCGAAAGCAUGGGUAGCGAACAGGAUUAGAUACCCUGGUAGUCCAUGCCGUAAACGGUGGGCGCUAGGUGUGAGGGUCUUUCUACGACUUUCGUGCCGUAGCUAACGCAUUAAGCGCCCCGCCUGGG